rnacentral:lncRNA from 1 species
AAGCGACACGGAUCCUGAGAGCGCUCCCGGGUAGGCAUUUGCCCCGGUGGGACACCUCACCACAGCAGUGUGUGGCAGGCCCCCGUGGAGAAUCAACGCAGUGGCUGAACACCGGGAAGGAAUGGGCACUUGGAGUCUGGACAUCUAAAACUUGAAUUAGAGGAGACAGCACUGAUUGCAGUGACAGAAGCGGUGCCAGCUAACUCCCCACCAUCAAAAGUAUCUUCUGCUGUAGCCUGGCACAAGGUGUGAAAUUUCAUUUUUAAAGAUUUACUUCUUUGAUUUGUCAUUGUUAUGGUUAAAAUGCUAUAAUGCUGUCUGAGGGUUAAAGGACAUAACUUGUGAAAAAUCAUUAAUUUCCUGGUGCUAAUUUAAAUUCUUUGAUAAUUAUCUGGGAGGGGCUUAAAAGGAGUACAAAAUUGCCUUUUGGAAGGGUUUAAUUGAUUGACAUUGCAAUAGUCUGCUCAAAGUCUGUGAGAGUAUGAAUGCCUAUUUGUAAAUCUGUCAUACAUACAUACACACAUAUAUCAGAAAUGACAAUAAUUAUAUAUAGUAUACACAAA